UAGACCGAUAGCGAACAAGUAGAGUGAUCGAAAGAUGAAAAGCACUUUGGAAAGAGAGUUAAAAAGCACGUGAAAUUGUUGAAAGGGAAGGGAUUGCAACCAGACUUGCUCGCGGUGUUCCGCCGGUCUUCUGACCGGUCUACUCGCCGCGUUGCAGGCCAGCAUCGUCUGGUGCCGCUGGAUAAGACUUGAGGAAUGUAGCUCCCUCGGGAGUGUUAUAGCCUCUUGUGAUGCAGCGAGCGCCGGGCGAGGUCCGCGCUUCGGCUAGGAUGCUGGCGUAAUGGUUGUAAUCCGCCCGUCUUGAAACACGGACCAAGA
rnacentral:rRNA from 1 species